GCGUACAACACAGAAGCCAGGAGAGCUCCCUAAAACCCAAACCCUAAUCUACAAAUUCUUCAAAUUGAGAAGCCAAAUCAAGUUCAAAUCAAAAACCAAGCACAAACUAGUGAUCACUCAAGUGAGGGGAUCACAAGGCAAAAGAAUUGAAUCUUUAAGCGGGCGAGCCGGAGUUGAUACACGCUUGAAGGAAAAGCACUAAAGUUUUUAGGUAUCCAAGGACUACGGAUGAUGGUCAAGCUAGCUUUUGAAGAACCGAACACAAACUUUUAAAGCUUCCGCGUAAAUUAACUCUGUUUAAACAAUGUUGUGAUGUAAACCGUUUGUUAAACAACUUAUGGAUGUUUUAAUUAGUUGGUAGACAACUAUGUUUGU